rnacentral:rRNA from 1 species
AUUGAACGCUGGCGGCAUGCCUUACACAUGCAAGUCGAACGGCAGCGCGGGGCAACCUGGCGGCGAGUGGCGAACGGGUGAGUAAUAUAUCGGAACAUACCCUAGAGUGGGGGAUAACGUAGCGAAAGUUACGCUAAUACCGCAUACGCACUAAGGUGGAAAGUGGGGGAUUCGCAAGAACCUCAUGCUCAUGGAGUGGCCGAUAUCUGAUUAGCUAGUUGGUGAGGUAAAGGCUCACCAAGGCGACGAUCAGUAGCUGGUUUGAGAGAACGACCAGCCACACUGGAACUGAGACACGGUCCAGACUCCUACGGGAGGCAGCAGUGGGAAUUUUGGGACAAUGGGGGCAACCUGAUCCAGCAAUGCCGCGUGAGUGAAGAAGGCC